rnacentral:lncRNA from 1 species
GUUUGUGUGUGUUUUUCAGGGAGGCAGAGCUCAGCGCAAACAGCGGCAGGCUGAGGACACCCUGAGACCGUAUCUGGGAAGGGUGGACCCAGGUGAGAGAAGUCAGCCCUUACUGGUGAUUUUGUACUUUUUGGUUUUACAUCAAACAUUCCAUUCAUGCAAAAAAUGUGCCUAGACAGACACUUCUACCGCUGUUUCUCCAUUCCUCCCCCAUACCUCGCUGGGUCCCAGCCCAACUGUGUGAGCUGCUGAAGUGCCAUAGUCCCAAGGGUUCCUGGUGUCAGGUGGUGAUGGAGAACGGAGCGCUUGUCCCAAAGUGUGUGUGUCCUAAGACCUGCCCAUGGUAGGGCCACAUCACAAACGGGAUUCAGGAAUGUUGAAGUGAUACAGACAGGUUCAAUUUAAAACAUAUUAAUAUGCCUGUAUUGACUGGUGUGUGCAGGCAGGGGGCGCCAGUGUGCAGUGUUCUAGGAAAGACAUACGGGAAUGAGUGUCUGCUGCAUAGAGAAGCCUGCCGCAAGAGACGUCGGAUUGGACUGGCUCAUGCAGGGUCCUGCCUAGUUUCAAAGGCAAACUGCACAGAGAAGGAGUAUGGCCAGUUCCCAUACCGCCUCAUGGACUGGUUCCUGUUAUUGAGUCGCAUGGGAGCGUCCUACGCCCCCUACGCCCCACCCCAGAACUGCCUGAGCCACACCCAGCGCACUCAUUUAGCCCAGCAAACAUUUGCCCUGCUGGACAAGAACAACGAUGGGAAGCUGAGUCAGAGAGAACUGAGGAAGUUACGCUACAAGAGAAUGCCUCUAGAACAAUGUGCUGCCUCGUUUUUACAGUCAUGUGACAGUAACAAGAACAGUAAGGUGACCCUGGCUGAAUGGAUCUCCUGUCUGGUGGAUCGCUCCGAGAGAUGGUUCCAGAGCUUCAUGUCAAUGAAAAUGGGAUCUAGUAAGCUGUGUCCCGUGAACACCAAAAACAACCUUUGAUUUGAGAAUUGACACCUCUACUGUCAUUCCUCUAUACAAUCAUCAUCAGCAGCAUCAAAGAUCAUCCCCAUGUCUCCAUCAUAUUUCUACCACUCCCUGUCACACUCAUGGGCCUACCGUGUUUGUUAUUGAUUCAUGACAUCAUCUGUUUUAUAAAGUCCACUGUACAUCCAUCUGUGUGGGGAAAUGGCCCAUAAUAAAUGUCUCUGAAGCC